rnacentral:rRNA from 1 species
UUUAUGGGGUGACUGCGUACCUUUUGUAUAAUGGGUCAGCGACUUAUAUUCUGUAGCAAGGUUAACCGAAUAGGGGAGCCGAAGGGAAACCGAGUCUUAACUGGGCGUUAAGUUGCAGGGUAUAGACCCGAAACCCGGUGAUCUAGCCAUGGGCAGGUUGAAGGUUGGGUAACACUAACUGGAGGACCGAACCGACUAAUGUUGAAAAAUUAGCGGAUGACUUGUGGCUGGGGGUGAAAGGCCAAUCAAACCGGGAGAUAGCUGGUUCUCCCCGAAAGCUAUUUAGGUAGCGCCUCGUGAAUUCAUCUCCGGGGGUAGAGCACUGUUUCGGCAAGGGGGUCAUCCCGACUUACCAACCCGAUGCAAACUGCGAAUACCGGAGAAUGUUAUCACGGGAGACACACGGCGGGUGCUAACGUCCGUCGUGAAGAGGGAAACAACCCAGACCGCCAGCUAAGGUCCCAAAGUCAUGGUUAAGUGGGAAACGAUGUGGGAAGGCCCAGACAGCCAGGAUGUUGGCUUAGAAGCAGCCAUCAUUUAAAGAAAGCGUAAUAGCUCACUGGUCGAGUCGGCCUGCGCGGAAGAUGUAACGGGGCUAAACCAUGCACCGAAGCUGCGGCAGCGACACUAAGUGUUGUUGGGUAGGGGAGCGUUCUGUAAGCCUGUGAAGGUGUGCUGUGAGGUAUGCUGGAGGUAUCAGAAGUGCGAAUGCUGACAUAAGUAACGAUAAAGCGGGUGAAAAGCCCGCUCGCCGGAAGACCAAGGGUUCCUGUCCAACGUUAAUCGGGGCAGGGUGAGUCGACCCCUAAGGCGAGGCCGAAAGGCGUAGUCGAUGGGAAACAGGUUAAUAUUCCUGUACUUGGUGUUACUGCGAAGGGGGGACGGAGAAGGCUAUGUUGGCCGGGCGACGGUUGUCCCGGUUUAAGCGUGUAGGCUGAUUUUCCAGGCAAAUCCGGAAAAUCAAGGCUGAGGCGUGAUGACGAGGCACUACGGUGCUGAAGCAACAAAUGCCCUGCUUCCAGGAAAAGCCUCUAAGCAUCAGGUAACAUCAAAUCGUACCCCAAACCGACACAGGUGGUCAGGUAGAGAAUACCAAGGCGCUUGAGAGAACUCGGGUGAAGGAACUAGGCAAAAUGGUGCCGUAACUUCGGGAGAAGGCACGCUGAUAUGUAGGUGAAGCGACUUGCUCGUGGAGCUGAAAUCAGUCGAAGAUACCAGCUGGCUGCAACUGUUUAUUAAAAACACAGCACUGUGCAAACACGAAAGUGGACGUAUACGGUGUGACGCCUGCCCGGUGCCGGAAGGUUAAUUGAUGGGGUUAGCGGUAACGCGAAGCUCUUGAUCGAAGCCCCGGUAAACGGCGGCCGUAACUAUAACGGUCCUAAGGUAGCGAAAUUCCUUGUCGGGUAAGUUCCGACCUGCACGAAUGGCGUAAUGAUGGCCAGGCUGUCUCCACCCGAGACUCAGUGAAAUUGAACUCGCUGUGAAGAUGCAGUGUACCCGCGGCAAGACGGAAAGACCCCGUGAACCUUUACUAUAGCUUGACACUGAACAUUGAGCCUUGAUGUGUAGGAUAGGUGGGAGGCUUUGAAGUGUGGACGCCAGUCUGCAUGGAGCCGGCCUUGAAAUACCACCCUUUAAUGUUUGAUGUUCUAACGUUGGCCCCUGAUCGGGGUUGCGGACAGUGUCUGGUGGGUAGUUUGACUGGGGCGGUCUCCUCCUAAAGAGUAACGGAGGAGCACGAAGGUUGGCUAAUCCUGGUCGGACAUCAGGAGGUUAGUGCAAUGGCAUAAGCCAGCUUGACUGCGAGCGUGACGGCGCGAGCAGGUGCGAAAGCAGGUCAUAGUGAUCCGGUGGUUCUGAAUGGAAGGGCCAUCGCUCAACGGAUAAAAGGUACUCCGGGGAUAACAGGCUGAUACCGCCCAAGAGUUCAUAUCGACGGCGGUGUUUGGCACCUCGAUGUCGGCUCAUCACAUCCUGGGGCUGAAGUAGGUCCCAAGGGUAUGGCUGUUCGCCAUUUAAAGUGGUACGCGAGCUGGGUUUAGAACGUCGUGAGACAGUUCGGUCCCUAUCUGCCGUGGGCGCUGGAGAACUGAGGGGGGCUGCUCCUAGUACGAGAGGACCGGAGUGGACGCAUCACUGGUGUUCGGGUUGUCAUGCCAAUGGCACUGCCCGGUAGCUAAAUGCGGAAGAGAUAAGUGCUGAAAGCAUCUAAGCACGAAACUUGCCCCGAGAUGAGUUCUCCCUGACUCCUUGAGAGUCCUGAAGGAACGUUGAAGACGACGACGUUGAUAGGCCGGGUGUGUAAGCGCAGCGAUGCGUUGAGCUAACCGGUACUAAUGAACCGUGAGGCUUAACCUU